CCACGCUUAAGUUUCUGUACUGCUGUGAUUACUACUAAAUGUGGGAUCUCAAUUACAUGAUGGUAUGACUUGUUAUCUGAGCUUGAGAGUGAGUGAGUUUACCUUCACUGAAACUGUUUGGCUGCUCCCCACUCUGGCCUUGAUCUCCCUCACUCCUCACCAUGUGUAUAUAUAUACACAUUUCUUGUAACUGAAAGCUGCAAAAGCUUAGUGUUGGCUGGAAAAAGGACUCCACAGGUUGUGGAGCUGGCUUCUCUCUCUGCAGCUCUGCAGAGCAUGUACUCUGAGCCCCUGAUUUCUCUCUAACUGAUUUUUGGUGGCUUGUGGAGCUCUAGUUUGUUAACCUUAUUGCAGAGUCCUCUAGGCCUUACCUUCUGUUGUGCAUUCACUGCAUUAUUGUGCCUCUUUUGGCAGGUACAGCCGUGGGUGGCAGCCAUUGCAUCUAGGGUGACCGACCCCCUGCAGCGGUUGGACUGCCUCGCUGCCUCGUGGCAGCCUUCACUUCGUCGGGGAAGUGCUGGAGGCGCAGGUUGUGGAAAAGGUUGGCCUUGCCAUUCAUAGGCAAGACUCGUUUUCCAUAUUGGAAAGGCGGUGUUGCCAUUUCCUCUUAGAGAAAAGGGUUGCUAAUCAUGGUUCUCGGUUCGUCGGGCCGCUGGAGUUUGAGCCGAGAGACCGGUCUCUUUCGUGUGGUCUCCUUGCCCUUUUCGGCCAAGCCCAAGCUAACAAGAGGCCCAAUAUUAGUUUUCCCUUUGUGUUUUUUUUUUCUUUCUCCUUAUGUUGUAAUAGAGUAGUUUCUCUUUGGAAUCUCGCUUUUCUAUAACAUGUAUGCAUGUAAUACUAGUUGGUGUGUACCUUAUUUCAAGCAUUUAUUAGCCCGAAAUUCUUUAUAUUGUACUUAUUUUAUUCAAGAAAUAAAAUACUCUUUCAUUCUUUGUCAAA